rnacentral:tRNA from 1 species
GGUUGUGGCUCAGUGGUGCAGCGCUUGCCUACCAUGUGUGAGGUACUGGGUUCAAUUCUCAGCACCA